CAGCCGCCGCGGUAAAACGUAGGGUGCAAGCGUUAAUCGGAAUUACUGGGCGUAAAGCGUGCGCAGGCGGUUAUAUAAGACAGAUGUGAAAUCCCCGGGCUCAACCUGGGAACUGCAUUUGUGACUGUAUAGCUAGAGUACGGCAGAGGGGGAUGGAAUUCCGCGUGUAGCAGUGAAAUGCGUAGAUAUGCGGAGGAACACCGAUGGCGAAGGCAAUCCCCUGGGCCUGUACUGACGCUCAUGCACGAAAGCGUGGGGAGCAAACAGGAUUAGAGACCCCUGUAGUCCCUGUCUCUUAUAC
rnacentral:rRNA from 1 species